AUGGCAGACAGCAGAGGAAGGAAUGUGUCUAUUGAUGCUUUGACUUCAAAGCUUGAAUCCAAGAUAUACUACCAUAGGGAUGCCACUGUCGAGUACCUGGAUAUCAAGACUAUGGUUGAUAAAGUUGUACAAGAAAAGAAUAAGCUCUUGGCUGAGAACACCGAAUUCCUGAAUACUAUUGAUAAGAUCGUGGAAGAAAAGGAAAAACUCCAGCAUGAUCAUGAUGUGAUUAAUGAGCUGGUGGCACCAAUGGCGGAGCAGCUUGAAAUGGUAAAGAAGGAGCUUGAAGAAGUAAAACAUGAGCAUGUGGCAGCAAAGGAGGAGCUUGCUGUGGCAAAAGAGCAACUUGCUCAGAAGAACAAAGAGCUGAAGGUUCUAAGGAAGAAGCUUCAGGAGAGUGAAGCCAUGCACACUCAACAUGAGCAACAAAUUGGAAGUGCUUCUAAGCCUGCUCGUUCCAAAAUGGUAACAAGAUUAUCACAUAAACGGGCUAUCCUGCUCCAAGGAUCAUCGGACAAUGACACAGACAGACAUCGUUGUAAAAAACAGAGGUCCUAUCCGCAGGUGCCAAAUAACCCAACCGCUGGCCAGCAUUCAGGCAGAGAUGACGAUCAGGAGGUUGUCAGACAAAAGCUGAUCAAGGGGUUCUCUGAAAUUGAUGCUGGACAGUCAAUUGGGAUAAAGAAAAUGGGGAAAUUAAAUGAGAAGCCAUUCCGGGAUGCUUGUGCUGUCAAGCUGGCUCCUAAAUAUGCUGGUGCGAAAUCUUCUGAACUGUACGCACUGUGGCAGGAACUACUCGAUAGUCCAAAUUGGAAACCCUUCAAGUCUGUUAUAGUUGAUGGCAAUCAUCAGGAGGAGGUCAUAGAUGUUGAUGAUGAUAAGUUGCAAGGACUGAAGAUGGCAUGGGGAGAAGGCCCCUACAAUGCUGUCGUUAGUGCAUUGGUUGAGAGGAAAGAGUACAACACUGAUGGAACAGGUGAUGCCUUCGAUCUAUGGAACUAUAAGGAAGGGAGGAAGGCCACUCUUGGGGAGUGUGUUGACUGUAUCUUGGACAAUGUAAAGAAACUCAAGCGGGUCCAUCUGACAUACAGGUCGAGGAGAACAAUGUGUACUGCCACUGCGAGCAUGCAUGACCCAGUGAAAGAUCUGUCGGCAGCAAGUAAUGAAUGGAGUCAUCAGAUGUCCAACACUAGCAAGCAUGGAGGGAAGUCAUGA
rnacentral:rRNA from 1 species